rnacentral:rRNA from 1 species
CCCACUGUUCAUUGUAUACUAAAUUCCCCAAAGGCACCAGAUCCCAUCUGAUCUUGGAAAGUACAUACAGUCAUCCCUGGUUAGUACUUGGAUGGGAGACUGUCAGCAAAUAUCAGGUGCUGGAGGCU